GAGACCUUUCGCAGUUAUGAAUCUCCAGCUAAAGUAAACACCUGCUUCCCUUCAGUCUGGGGUAGAUCCCAUCUGCUGUAUCGACACCCUUCCCAGGAAGGAGAUGCCUGAACGCCCCCUCCUGAGGUUCGGGUAAUAAGUUUGUGUUGGAAGUCAGCGUGAUGAGCUGAGGACAAGAUCAAAACGACAAUGAUUGGGAGGGAAUCCGUGUGGAAAAUAAAGUGUGAGAACAUCCAGAAGUCAUCCAGGAACAUUGCAGAAACAUCUGAGCAUCUGGCAAGUCCUAACGACACCUGGAGGCCAGGAGCUGGGACAGAGGCACGAUGCUGACAGGGCUGGCACUCUGCAAAAGCAGGGCUCCAUAAUCAAAGCACCUGGGCAGAAAUCACAGCUGAGUGUCAGAGCGAGGGCACAGUGGUGCAACACUGUCUGUUUGCUUGUCAUGAUGGAUAUACAGAGACACAAAAAAGCAACCGGCACAGAGAAGGCUGUAGGAAAACAAGAAUUACAGAUUUUUCCCUGUUAUGCCCAGUAGACAUACCUCUGUCUUAAACACUGGAUUUUACCCUGUCUUACCUACCGUUCAUCCAUCUCUGUCUUAAACACUGUCGAUCCUUCCUUGAGCUUAACAUUGUUUUUUCCUCCUGUCUUAUACACUACGGAUCCUUCCCUGUCUUAAACAUUAAAUGUCCUUCCCUGUCUUAAACAUUAAAUGUCCUUCCCUGUCUUAAA